rnacentral:rRNA from 1 species
UUGAACGCUGGCGGCAGGCCUAACACAUGCAAGUCGAACGGUAACAGGAAGCAGCUUGCUGCUUUGCUGACGAGUGGCGGACGGGUGAGUAAUGUCUGGGAAACUGCCCGAUGGAGGGGGAUAACUACUGGAAACGGUAGCUAGUACCGCAUAACGUCGCAAGACCAAAGAGGGGGACCUUAGGGCCUCUUGCCAUCGGAUGUGCCCAGAUGGGAUUAGCUAGUAGGUGGGGUAACGGCUCACCUAGGCGACGAUCCCUAGCUGGUCUGAGAGGAUGACCAGCCACACUGGAACUGAGACACGGUCCAGACUCCUACGGGAGGCAGCAGUGGGGAAUAUUGCACAAUGGGCGCAAGCCUGAUGCAGCCAUGCCGCGUGUAUGAAGAAGGCCUUCGGGUUGUAAAGUACUUUCAGCGGGGAGGAAGGGAGUAAAGUUAAUACCUUUGCUCAUUGACGUUACCCGCAGAAGAAGCACCGGCUAACUCCGUG